rnacentral:rRNA from 1 species
GACGAACGCUGGCGGCGUGCUUAACACAUGCAAGUCGAACGGAAAGGCCCUGCUUGCAGGGUACUCGAGUGGCGAACGGGUGAGUAACACGUGGGUGAUCUGCCCUGCACUUCGGGAUAAGCCUGGGAAACUGGGUCUAAUACCGGAUAGGAGCCAUUUUUAGUGUGAUGGUUGGAAAGUUUUUUCGGUGUAGGAUGAGCUCGCGGCCUAUCAGCUUGUUGGUGGGGGAAUGGCCUACCAAGGCGGCGACGGGUAGCCGGCCUGAGAGGGUGGACGGCCACAUUGGGACUGGGAUACGGCCCAGACUCCUACGGGAGGCAGCAGUGGGGAAUAUUGCACAAUGGGCGCGAGCCUGAUGCAGCGACGCCGCGUGGGGGAUGACGGCCUUCGGGUUGUAAACUCCUUUCGCUAGGGACGAAGCUUUUUGUGACGGUACCUAGAUAAGAAGCACCGGCUAACUACGUG